rnacentral:rRNA from 1 species
GACGAACGCUGGCGGCGUGCUUAACACAUGCAAGUCGAACGGAAAGGCCCUGCCUUGGUGGGGUGCUCGAGUGGCGAACGGGUGAGUAACCCGUGAGUAACCUGCCCUUGCCCUUGGGAUAACCUCAGGAAACUGGGGCUAAUCCCGGAUAGGAGCUCCCGCUGUAUGGUGGGGGUUGGAAAGUUUCGGCGGUUGGGGAUGGACUCGCGGCGUAUCAGCUUGUUGGUGGGGUAGUGGCUUACCAAGGCUUUGAAGGGUAGCCGGCCUGAUAGGGUGACCGGCCACAUUGGGCCGGGAAUGCGGCCCAGACUCCUACGGGAGGCAGCAGUGGGGAAUAUUGCACAAUGGGCGGAAGCCUGGUGCAGCAACGCCGCGUGCGGGAUGACGUCCUUCGGUUUGUAAACCACUUUCGCCUGUGACGAAGCGUGAGUGACGGUAAUGGGUGAAGAAGCACCGGCUAACUACGUG